AAGGGUUUAGAGUUUACCCAAGGGUUUAGGGUUUAGGAUUUAGGGUUUAGGGAUUAGGAGUUAGAACAGUAGUGUCAGUAGAACAGCAGAAGUGGACAUCAAACUUGUUGGGGCUGAACUAUACGAUUGAAUACAGGCCUGGGAAAGCGAACAUAGUUGCAGAUGCCUUGUCUCGCCUUCCUGGCCAAGAGGAGAUGAGAGAGCUUCAGCUAACGACACCUCUGACUAUUGAUAAAGAAGAGUUGGUGUUACAGGUUGCUCAAGAUGAAGUUCUGCAACAGAUAAUGAGGUUUGUUCAA
rnacentral:lncRNA from 1 species